UGACACAUGAAUGUCAAUCGCAGAUAAAAUUGAAAUGAUACAGAGAAGAUCUGUGUGGUCCCUGCACAAAGAUGACUCACACAAAUCGAGAAAUGAUCCAAGUUUUC
rfam:Solanum tuberosum cultivar DM 1-3 516 R44 scf00048_26, whole genome shotgun sequence.